GUCCCAUCCCAGAAACCCAGGAGAAAGAUAUCUGGGAGGUUUGCUUUUAAAGCAAGGGAGGUGGGGCUCAGGGCUGGCCAGGGGCGGGGUGGAAGAUGAGGAACCCCAGCUUCAGGGAACACACAGCCCUUCUUGCAGUCCAGCCUUCCAGUGGGAAAUGAGGCAGCAUGGGGCACAGAUGGGGAAGAGCCAGUGUGAAGACUGGAGAGUUCCAGGCCGAGCAGCAUACACAGCAACACCCCACACCUGCCUCCAGAGUCGCCUCCAAAACCCUCCGAGCGCUGCGGUGCUAAUCUGUCUCUUCUUGGCUGCCUUCCCUGCAAGCUCCCAGCACAGUGGAGAAGAGAAGCCAAGCUCUGCACUGGUUGUCACUUACCACCCCUUCUCCACCUCCUUAAACUACCCGGACACUUUCUGUUUGUUGUUCCCAUGCCAGCUCAUUUUCUUGUUUGUAGAUUUUUAGUUCCUUUACUUAAUGCCAACACAGUUUGGGGACUGAACAGAGAUAAACAUCACUGCGAUUAGUGGAAAGCCAGCUCUCCUCUGAGUCUUGUCUCCUUGUCUAUAAAAUGGGGCUAAAUUUUUUACCUCAAAGUUUGUGGGUGUUAAGUGAUACAGUACAUGUAGAAGGCAACACUACCUAAUGAUACAAGGAAGAAUAGCCAGGCAGAGUUAUUGGCAUUACCACAGGGCUCUUGGAAAUCCCUGGAACAGUCUGGUUGCUAGAACCACCACACAGAGGAGUGUCUGGCUGAACAUUCUGGUUGCUCACCUCUUGGGCUUGCCUUCCCCCCAGUAUUAAGCAAGAAGUGAAACAUGGCAUCAACUCAGAGAGAGCAAUGUUCUUCAAACUUAACUGUGCAUGCUACUUGCCCGGACUCUUAUCACAGGUGGCUCUGACUCCAGGUGGCUGAUGAGUUUGCACAGAUGCUAAUGCUUCUGAUCCUGUUGGUCUGAGGACCACACUCUGAGUAGCAAGAGAGAAAAUGGUAGAAACUUAUGUGGUUGGUCAGUGAGGAGCAGGAACAGGGACAAUGUCUCCUUGGGCUGUUUUGGCUGGUGGUCUUUAAGGGGGUGGGUGUUUCUCUUUCAGGACUGAAACCCAACAGGUAUAGUGUGGGUUCCUCUAAGUGACCACAAGAUGUCAUAAUGUCAUUAUAUGAAUUUUACCAGAAAGAGUUGAGUCUGGGUGUCAAGUUACUAACCCUUAAGCUGGAAAUGGGAAGUGACAGUUGUCUAAUCAGUUGGUGCUUCAGGGACCAGCCAUGGCCAAAGCUCCGUCCCCUGGGCCCAGGACCAAUGUCAGAGAAAUAGCAACCUCUUUGGUUCGCCCACUUUCUUCCAAUUUGUCUUCAUUAUUGGAGCCACAUGGCCCUAGAAAUGAGAC
rnacentral:lncRNA from 1 species